rnacentral:rRNA from 1 species
GAAUCUUCCGCAAUGGGCGCAAGCCUGACGGAGCAACGCCGCGUGAAUGAUGAAGGCCUUCGGGUUGUAAAAUUCUGUCUUCUGUGAAGAACAAGUGUGAGAGUGGAAAGCUCACACCCUGACGGUAACAGAGGAGGAAGCCCCGGCUAACUACGUGCCAGCAGCCGCGGUAAUACGUAGGGGGCGAGCGUUGUCCGGAAUCACUGGGCGUAAAGCGCGCGCAGGCGGCCAUCUACGUCCGGGGUGAAAGCCCAGAGCUCAACUCUGGGAUUGCCUUGGAUACGGGGUGGCUUGAGGAUCGGAGAGGCAAGGGGAAUUCCACGUGUAGCGGUGAAAUGCGUAGAGAUGUGGAGGAACACCUGUGGCGAAGGCGCCUUGCUGGCCGAUUUCUGACGCUGAGGCGCGAAAGCGUGGGGAGCAAA